rnacentral:misc_RNA from 1 species
UGGAAUAUAAAUAUAUGUAUCACACGUACACACAAGUGUAUUGGAGGAUUAGUAAACAUCAGAACCGUGUUUGACAAGACAGAAAAGGCCACUCCAUAUAUUAAAUCUACAUUUCCACACACAUUCAGUGGUCCCUCAGAGAAGCAUAUGAUUACUUUUUGUAGUUAUGACGGUUAAUACAGAGAUCACAUGGAUGGAGACAGAGAAUCCAUAUGAUUAAAAUCAUACUAUUACAUCCUACUAUUUUCAGAAAUACAGCAUACCAUACAGGUACUUGUUUAUAAAAUGAUAUUGUGCAUUAAAUAAACAUUGUAUGCCUGGAAUAACAGCCACUGUGAAUAAAACUUCAUGCUGCCAUUGCUGAUACUCAGAAUGAUCAAAUGCCAUGAACAUUUUUCUUUUUAAUUUGGAAAUAUAUUCUAAAGGAUUACAUGUACAAA